GGUCUUAUAGUUUAAAUAAAAUACUAGACUGCAAUUCUAGAGAUAUAGAUUUAUUAAGACUU
rnacentral:tRNA from 1 species